rnacentral:rRNA from 1 species
UACGGAGGGUGCAAGCGUUAUCCGGAUUCACUGGGUUUAAAGGGUGCGUAGGUGGGUUGAUAAGUCAGUGGUGAAAUCCCCGAGCUUAACUUGGGAACUGCCAUUGAUACUAUUGAUCUUGAAUACCGUGGAGGUCAGCGGAAUAUGUCACGUAGCGGUGAAAUGCUUAGAUAUGACAUAGAACACCAAUUGCGAAGGCAGCUGGCUACGCGAAUAUUGACACUGAUGCACGAAAGCGUGGGGAUCAAACAGG